GACGAACCGAGCGAACGUUGUUCGGAAUCACUGGGCUUAAAGAGCUCGUAGGCGGCCGGUUGCGUCUGCUGUGAAAUCCCGGGGCUUAACCCCGGGCGUGCAGUGGAUACGGGCCGGCUGGAGGCAGGCAGGGGAGAAUGGAAUUCCCGGUGUAGCGGUGAAAUGCGCAGAUAUCGGGAGGAACACCGGUGGCGAAGGCGGUUCUCUGGGCCUGUACUGACGCUGAGGAGCGAAAGCGUGGGGAGCGAACAGG
rnacentral:rRNA from 1 species